rnacentral:rRNA from 1 species
AUACGUAGGGGGCAAGCGUUAUCCGGAUUUACUGGGUGUAAAGGGAGCGUAGACGGAAGGCCAGGUCUGCUGUGAAAGCCCGCGGCGCAUCUUCGUGACUGCAUUGCAAACUGGUCAUCUGGAGGGCAGGAGGGGAAACCGGACUUCCUUGUGUAGCGGUGAAAUGCGUAGAUAUUAGGAGUAACAUCGGUGGCGAAGGCGGCUUACUGGACUGUAACUGACGUUGAGGCUCGAAAGCGUGGGGAGCAAACAGGAUUAGAUCCCCUGGUAGUCCACGCCGUAAACGAUGAAUACUAGGUGUCGGGUUUCUAUAGAGAUUCGGUGCCGCAGCAAACGCAAUAAGUAUUCCACCUGGGGAGUACGUUCGCAAGAAUGAAACUCAAAUGAAUUGACGGGG